rnacentral:rRNA from 1 species
GACGUAGGGCGCGAGCGUUGUCCGGAUUUAUUGGGCGUAAAGAGCUCGUAGGCGGCUUGUCGCGUCGACUGUGAAAACCCGUGGCUCAACCAUGUGGUCUGCAGUCGAUACGGGCAGGCUAGAAUUCGGUAGGGGAGACUGGAAUUCCUGGUGUAGCGGUGAAAUGCGCAGAUAUCAGGAGGAACACCGGUGGCGAAGGCGGGUCUCUGGGCCGUAACUGACGCUAAGGAGCGAAAGCGUGGGGAGCGAACAGG